AGCAUCCUGCGAUGUACGUCACGGUUUUCGAUUGUUUUGAACCAAUGAGUGUUUCUAGGGAGUUCAAUAAGUACGCCCGGCUGACAUGCCCUCAAAAGGGGACUUCAAAAAGGCGUCUGCGGACACCCACCUGCGAGAGCGGGUUUGAAACAUGAGAAUCGAACGGCAUAUGCGGGUUUUUU
rnacentral:other from 1 species